CCGAAUUGUCAACACGAGUUGUUGCUGGUCCUCAAACGGGGGCAUGUGCACACUCUGUUUACACAUCCACUCACACCUGUGCACCCUCUGUAGUUCUGUGGCAUGGGGGACUCUGUCCUCCUGUCGUGGUUCUGCGUCUUUACACACACUCUGUAACGAAGUCUCAUGGAAUGUAUGCCGCGUUUAACGCAAUACAAUA
rnacentral:misc_RNA from 1 species